AUUGAACGCUGGCGGCAGGCCUAACACAUGCAAGUCGAGCGGUAGAGAGGUGCUUGUACCUCUUGAGAGCGGCGGACGGGUGAGUAAUGCCUAGGAAUCUGCCUGGUAGUGGGGGAUAACGCUCGGAAACGGACGCUAAUACCGCCUAUGUCCUACGGGAGAAAGCAGGGGACCUUCGGGCCUUGCGCUAUAAGAUGAGCCUGGGUCGGAUUAGCUAGUUGGUGAGGUAAUGGCUCACCAAGGCGACGAUCCGUAACUGGUCUGAGAGGAUGAUCAGUCACACUGGAACUGAGACACGGUCCAGACUCCUACGGGAGGCAGCAGUGGGGAAUAUUGGACAAUGGGCGAAAGCCUGAUCCAGCCAUGCCGCGUGUGUGAAGAAGGUCUUCGGAUUGUAAAGCACUUUAAGUUGGGAGGAAGGGUCGUUACCUAAUACGUGACGAUUUUGACGUUACCGACAGAAUAAGCACCGGCUAACUCUGUGCCAGCCGCCGCCGUAA
rnacentral:rRNA from 1 species